UAGGAGCACUGUUAAAAGAGAUUGGAGAUUUUGGAAAUCCAGAUUGGGUAGUGUGCAUUGAAGCUUUUCCAGUUGCCAUAGGCUUUAAUUUAAAACCCAUGAUGUGAUGGAUUUAAUUAAAUGAUUUAAUGUGGUUUGCUCAGUUGGAGCAAAAUCAAAUACAACUCAAUCUAGAGGGCUUUCAAAAGGUAAAUCCGAUUAGGGAGUGGGUGUGGUUGGUGGUCUGCAAACUGGCCUGAACUGUGAUCCUGAGAAUUAUAUUCCCAGUUUUUCACCUUUGGACUUGGGAGAGAUUGCCGGUAGAGUAAGCUGACCUCAUAUGCUUUGGUAUUUUGAAAGGUUUAUCUCCAAGGCCACUCAGGGCAAAAAUUUUGGAAGAUCAAACAAAGGAGCUUAAAGGAUUUCUAGACCGGAUGUGUUUCCCUGCCCAAAUGGAGUUGUGACUGCCUCCAACUUGUAGCAGACUAACACGCAGUUGUUUUUUUUCCAUCAUUGAUCCUUUGCCCUUUACUCACAGCUGGAGUGUCAGCAUCAGGAUGCACAAUGAAAAUGGACCACGAUUAGUGAUCCCAUUUGUAAAUACAACAUUUUCACAUUUUUUAGAUUAUCUUUU
rnacentral:lncRNA from 1 species